UAAGAAAAAAAUAAUGUUUUUAGGCCGAGAGACUGUUUCAAUUAUUUUUUUUUUUAAAAAAUAAUAUGCUAUCCGUUUCGUUUAUUUCAUUUAGAAAUAAGCAUAGCUGGAAAUAUGAAUCAACUAAAAUUCGAACUUGGGUCUCGAAUAUCAACCACCAAAUUCUUUAUCACUUACAUUAGGGACGGUCGGUAAACCGUUUCAAUUAUUUUUGAGAGACGGAUAGUAUACUAUCCGUUUCGUUUAUUUCAUUCGAAAAUAAACUUAGCUGAAAAUAUGAAUUAACUAAGAUAAAAAGUUGGAUCUCGAAUAUCAAAUAUUAAGUCCUUUGCCACUUACUCUGGACGGUUGGUAGGCUGUUUCAAUUAUUAAUUACGUAAAACUAUC
rnacentral:lncRNA from 1 species